CACACACCGCCCGUCAAGCCAUGGGAGUCGGUUGGUCCCGAAGUGCGUGAGCUAACCCGCAAGGGAGGCAGCGUCCUAAGGAAUGGCCGGUGACUGGGGUG
rnacentral:rRNA from 1 species